UACGUAGGGUGCGAGCGUUAAUCGGAAUUACUGGGCGUAAAGCGUGCGCAGGCGGUUGUGCAAGACAGGUGUGAAAUCCCCGGGCUUAACCUGGGAACUGCACUUGUGACUGCACGGCUAGAGUACGGUAGAGGGGGAUGGAAUUCCGCGUGUAGCAGUGAAAUGCGUAGAUAUGCGGAGGAACACCGAUGGCGAAGGCAAUCCCCUGGACCUGUACUGACGCUCAUGCACGAAAGCGUGGGGAGCAAACAGGAUUAGAUACCCUCGUAGUCC
rnacentral:rRNA from 1 species